AGAACGAACGCUGGCGGCAGGCUUAACACAUGCAAGUCGAACGCUCGUAGCAAUACGGGAGUGGCAGACGGGUGAGUAACGCGUGGGAACCUUCCCUGUGGUACGGAAUAACUUCGGGAAACCGAAGCUAAUACCGUAUAUCUCCUCCGGGAGAAAGAUUUAUCGCCAUAGGAUGGGCCCGCGUUGGAUUAGCUAGUUGGUGAGGUAACGGCUCACCAAGGCAACGAUCCAUAGCUGGUCUGAGAGGAUGAUCAGCCACACUGGGACUGAGACACGGCCCAGACUCCUACGGGAGGCAGCAGUGGGGAAUAUUGGACAAUGGGCGCAAGCCUGAUCCAGCCAUGCCGCGUGAGUGAAGAAGGCCUUAGGGUUGUAAAGCUCUUUUGGCGGGGACGAUAAUGACGGUACCGCAGAAUAAGCCCCGGCUAACUUCGUGCCAGCAGCCGC
rnacentral:rRNA from 1 species